AUUAGUGUCUGAUGUAAAAAUAUUAAAAACACGGAGGGCACCUAUAAUAAAAAGGGCGUCCUCUACAAAUGUCGCUUUAUAAUUUUAAUAAACACGCGUUUCUGGGACUCAGGGGGGAAACUAAAUCCCCCAAAAUUUUGAACACCCGCUUCCUCUUCCUCUCUACUCUCUACACCCGCCAAAUCAACUUCAUUCUCUCCCUUCUUUCUCUCUGCAAACCCCUUCUUCUCCGAUCGACUUUCACUUCCUUCUAUGUGCAAACCCUAAUCAAACAUAACACAUUUGAAAUAGUAAUAUCUUCUUUCAUUUUAUCCCCUACUACUCUCUGUAAAACCUAGCAGCCGCCACCACUAGAAACAUGGAAAAUCCCCCAAAAUUUUGAAGUACCCCGCUCACUCCUCUCAAUAUCUCUUGCGCUUUCGUAUUUAUAGCCAGAGUUGGAGAGCGAAAAGAAGAAAGAAGAAAGAAAUGAUGUGAGGGUGUGAGGUGGCGUUCAAAGGUUGUCAAGGGGUUGUGAGGAGCUAUAGGGCUCAAGUUCGAGGUUGAAGAUUAGAAACCGAAGGUUGAAGAUCAGAUUUGGGAUUAGAUGAGUCGCUGGUACAACUGACGUCGUCGUGGUGUAGGUCAGAUGAGUCGCCGGAGUCCAGGCCAAGUAACAGUGUCGCUGGAGUUUUGGGAAGCUAACGAUGUCAUCAAUUCGAGUGCAGGUGAUGUGCCGAUUAUUGAUUUUGGAUCAAUUACUAACUGUUUGCCAUUUUCUUUCUAGAAAAUCAAUGUAAUGUCUGCUUCUUAAUCUUGUUCUCUAUGAGUACCAUUGUUACCGUCUCUGGUAAAAACAUCUAACCAUAUGCCAGAUUCGUUGAUUCAGGCUACAAAAGUACCUGUUAAAGAGUAUGAGUUUGAUGAAAAGAAGAUGGCAAAUGUGCAGUCUCAUCUGGAAAAAUUGGUUGCCAAUAACUAUUACUUGAACAGGUCUCCAAAAGAUGCGUACAGAUAAAUAUAUUAUUCAUGAAGUGAAGGCAAGAAUAGUUGAAUGGACAAGGGCAGGCUGGUCAAGACUGGAAGCUUUACACAUUUAUAUCCAUUUUGUUGAAGAUCUGAUACCCCUCUUAUCUACAGAGCAGUUCCCAUGAUGAGCAGUUGCUUGAAGCAGCUUGGUGUCUUACAAACAUAGCUGCUGGAAAACCUAAAGAAACAAGAGCUUAAUUGCCUGCAUUACCUUUACUCAUUGCUCAAAUUGGAGAGUUCAGUGCCUGUUGCAGAGCAGUGUGCUUAAGCAUUAGGAAAUGUUGCAGGAGAAGGUGAAGAACCGAGACAAAUUCUGAUUUCUCAAGGGGCAUUACUUCCUCUUGCAAAAAUGAUGUUGCCAAAUAAAGUUUCAGUUAACGGGUGAACCAAGUUUCUCUGAAAUGGCGACAGCAUUGUCAGGGCCUCCUUAUAUCUUUGUUUCUACUCCAGCUUGUGUCCAAAGAUGUCUUUCAUCAGGUGUUCUUCAAGCAAAAUCCGUUCAUGAUUAUCUUUCAAUUAUUAUUCUUGAUAAGAUCUUAUUUUUACAUAUGGAUAUGAAAAGAAUCUCAAAGAUCUCAAAACUCACAUUCCUAAAAGAUGUCAAUGCCUUCUCAUGGCUGCUACCUCAAGCUUGAAGAAGCUUUAUCUACACAAUCCCUAUAUUCUUACUUUAGCAGAAGUUGGUGAUGGAAAGGACGAAAUUGUCCCCAAAAAUGUUCAGCAAUUUUGGUUUGGUAUAAAAUCUGCUGUGUUAAAUGCUGAAUUGCCUGUGAAUUGACGUCUACAUAUUCUUGAGAAAACAAAUUUCCUGGGCGGGAAAGAAGCAGACAUACUUGCUGGUAAGAUGAGUAUGGUACAGUUGCAAGGGCGGGACCAGUUGCUGACAGCACAAAAUGAAAUGCUCAAGGUACUCUACUCUACUGCUUCAUCAUAUAUGUCUGCAAGUUUGGUUGGCAGUUUCCCUUAUUACAGAUGCGUUGGCUGCAUCUGGUCAGGCGUUGAUUGCUAGUUCGGUUUCAAAAGGGAAUUAUAGAUCUGUGAAGGAUAUCACAUACUUCGUGUUGACUAUUGGUUUUGUGAUGGGUGUUACUUUGGCUGCAAUAUUGGGAGUUUCAUUUGGUUCCAUAGUCACACUGUUCACUAAGGACAUUGGAGUAUUGGUGAUUGCUAGAACCGGGGUUUUGUUUGUGAGUGCUAGUCAGCCUUUGAAUGCUUUUGCUUUUACUGUUGAUGGUUUGCAUUAUGGAGUUUCAGACUUCCCGUAUGCUGCUUAUUCCAUGGCCAAAACCAUUGCAUUUUGCAAUAGUUGAUGAACUUGAUUAUGUCCUAAUUGAUGAGGGAAGAAACCCAUUGCUGAUAAGGGGUGAGGCUAGCAAGGAUGCUGCACGUAACACAGUUGCUGCUAAAGUAGCUGAGCUUCUCAUGCGUGGCCUCGUAUUUUACUUUUUUGCCCUUCUUUUUCCUUUUUGAUGUCUUGUUAUCCAUCUCCAUUGUAUGCGUAUCUCAUUGUUUGUUCCACUACACAUCAUGU